rnacentral:rRNA from 1 species
GACGAACGCUGGCGGCGUGCCUAAUACAUGCAAGUUGAGCGCUGAAGGUUGGUACUUGUACCAACUGGAUGAGCAGCGAACGGGUGAGUAACGCGUGGGGAAUCUGCCUUUGAGCGGGGGACAACAUUUGGAAACGAAUGCUAAUACCGCAUAAAAACUUUAAACACAAGUUUUAAGUUUGAAAGAUGCAAUUGCAUCACUCAAAGAUGAUCCCGCGUUGUAUUAGCUAGUUGGUGAGGUAAAGGCUCACCAAGGCGAUGAUACAUAGCCGACCUGAGAGGGUGAUCGGCCACAUUGGGACUGAGACACGGCCCAAACUCCUACGGGAGGCAGCAGUAGGGAAUCUUCGGCAAUGGACGAAAGUCUGACCGAGCAACGCCGCGUGAGUGAAGAAGGUUUUCGGAUCGUAAAACUCUGUUGGUAGAGAUGAACGUUGGUGAGAGUGGAAAGCUCAUCAAGUGACGGUAACUACCCAGAAAGGGACGGCUAACUACGUG